rnacentral:misc_RNA from 1 species
GAUGAAGAACGUAGCGAAAUGCGAUACGUAGUGUGAAUUGCAGAAUUCAGUGAAUCAUCGAAUCUUUGAACGCACAUUGCACCUCUCGGUAUUCCGGGAGGUAUGCCUGUUCGAGCGUCAUUUGUACCCUCAAGCUCUGCUUGGUGUUGGGUGUUUGUUCCGCCUCUGUGUGUGAACUCGCCUCAAAACAAUUGGCAGCCGGCGUACUUGUUUCGGAGCGCAUCACAUUUUGCGAUCCAGAUCAACGUACAGCGGCAUCCAAGAAGCCUUAUUUAACGCUCUUGACCUCGGAUCAGGUAGGGAUACCCGCUGAACUUAAGCAUAUCAAUAAGCGGAGGA